CUAUAAUCCAGAAAAGGCCACAACAACAACAGCUCGGACCGCUUUUCUUCUUCCCCUUGCGCGUGUAAUUUUCAAAGCGGCGAGCGUUUUCCGGUGGUGGGAUGCGAUAAAUCUGAUCUUUAGGAAUCUGAACAACAUUCUUCACUUGAGUAUGAGUAUCUGUGUUCAUGUCUUCCUGACAUGGUUGUUCUGCAGAUCUUUCUGAUGAAACAAAAAAGUCAAUUACCGGUAAGAAAAACGGUAUAUAUAUAUAUACUUGCAGAAGGUAUUGUUAAUCAAGAAGAGUUACUGACAGACCUGAAAAUUUGGCGAUCGAUGAACAAGAAACUCCCAAACUGUUUUUCACUCUCUCAACAGAACUUGUGCUUGAAUUUCAGGAAUUCUGCCUUUCUGCCUGAAAAAGUCUAAAAGGCAGAAUUCCUCCGUGUAAUUGUAUAUUUUGGUGGAUAACGCGGUUAGACAGUGUUUUUUCUUUUUUCUUUGAGAGGAAAUUUGGGUAUGUUUCAGCUGUCAGCAUUGAGGAAAUGCACUUACUCUGAUUGUGACCAACGUGACUUCCAUUAAAAGUUUUGUAGUGUGAAAUAAGAAAUGGUCAAUUGUGGAAUUGUUCUUUGUAAGACUCUCUCUCUCUUAAAACAUGAUUCCAUUUGGUUGUUUGCC